rnacentral:lncRNA from 1 species
CUAGACAUCUACAAAUGUUAUUCAAAUAUGAUCAAAUAUGUAUGACUUAGCAUGGAAAGCAUUGCAGGAGAAAGAUAGAUAACUGGUAUGAUUUGUCCAAUUGUUACACAUGAUGUUCAGAUUUGGGGUCUUUGACCAAACAAACAAACUACAUGCUCCUAUACAUGAUAAAAGACGAAACAGACAAUGGCCUGGGAAGACAAAUGACAGUCGUAUAUGUAUUGUUCAUAUUUAAAAUAAGAAAUGUAGUUAUGUAGACCCGUAAUAUGAAAAUCUUCCACAUACUUUCAAUAAAUU